rnacentral:rRNA from 1 species
AGACUGCGAUGGGUAGCCGGCCUGAGAGGGUGAACGGCCACACUGGAACCGAGACACGGUCCAGACUCCUACGGGAGGCAGCAGUGGGGAAUAUUGCACAAUGGAGGAAACUCUGAUGCAGCGACGCCGCGUGAACGAUGAAGGCUUUCGGGUCGUAAAGUUCUGUCCUAGGGGACGAUAAUGACGGUACCCUAGGAGGAAGCCCCGGCUAACUACGUGCCAGCAGCCGCGGUAAUACGUAGGGGGCGAGCGUUGUCCGGAUUUAUUGGGCGUAAAGGGUUCGCAGGCGGUCUCUUAAGUUAGAUGUGAAAGAUCACGGCUCAACCGUGGUAAGCAUUUAAAACUGGGAGACUUGAGUUAAGGAGAGGAAAGUGGAAUUCCUAGUGUAGCGGUGAAAUGCGUAGAUAUUAGGAGGAAUACCAGUGGCGAAGGCGACUUUCUGGACUUAUACUGACGCUGAGGAACGAAAGCGUGGGGAGCAAACAGGAUUAGAUACCCUGGUAGUCCACGCCGUAAACGAUGAGUGCUAGGUGUCGGGGGUCAAACCUCGGUGCCGCAGCUAACGCA